CACCUAUAUAGUCUAAGGCAGGGUUUCUGAACUGCGGUCCUCGGGACCCAUCUACAAGUCAUGUUUUCAGGAUUUCCUUAGUAUUGAGCAGGUGAUAUAAUUAGUGUCCAUGACC